GACGAACGCUGGCGGCGUGCUUAACACAUGCAAGUCGAACGGAAAGGCCCUGCUUGCAGGGUGCUCGAGUGGCGAACGGGUGAGUAACACGUGGGUGAUCUGCCCCUUAUUUUGGGAUAAGCCUGGGAAACUGGGUCUAAUACUGGAUAGGACCAUGCUGUAGGUGGUGUGGUGGAAAGAUUAGUUUCGGUAAGGGAUGAGCUCGCGGCCUAUCAGCUUGUUGGUGGGGUAAUGGCCUACCAAGGCGUCGACGGGUAGCCGGCCUGAGAGGGUGGACGGCCACAUUGGGACUGAGAUACGGCCCAGACUCCUACGGGAGGCAGCAGUGGGGAAUAUUGCACAAUGGGCGCAAGCCUGAUGAAGCGACGCCGCGUGGGGGAUGACGGCCUUCGGGUUGUAAACUCCUUUCAGCCAUGACGAAGCCCUUGUGGUGACGGUAGUGGUAGAAGAAGCACCGGCUAACUACGUG
rnacentral:rRNA from 1 species